rnacentral:rRNA from 1 species
AGUGAACGCUGGCGGUAGGCCUAACACAUGCAAGUCGAACGGCAGCACCGUCAGAGCUUGCUCUUACGGGUGGCGAGUGGCGGACGGGCGCGGAAUACAUCGGAACCUACUUUUUCGUGGGGGAUAACGUAGGGAAACUUACGCUAAUACCGCAUUCGUCCUACGGGUGAAAGCAUGGGAUCUUCGGACCUUGCGCGAUUGAAUGAGCCGAUGUCGGAUUAGCUAGUUGGCGGGGUAAAGGCCCACCAAGGCGACGAUCCGUAGCUGGUCUGAGAGGAUGAUCAGCGACACUGGAAGUGAGACACGGUCCAGACUCCUACGAGAGGCAGCAGUGGGGAAUAUUGGACAAUGGGCGCGAGUCUGAUCCAGCCAUACCGCGUGUGUGAAGAAGGCGUUCGGGUUGUAAAGCCCUUUUGUUGGGAGAGAAAAGCAGCAGGUUAAUACCCCGCGGUUCUGACGGUACCCAAAGAAUAAGCACCGGCUAACUUCGUG